CCUACGGGUGGCAGCAGUGGGGGAUAUUGCACAAUGGGGGGAACCCUGAUGCAGCGACGCCGCGUGUGGGAAGACGGUCCUCUGGAUUGUAAACCACUGCCCCCAGGGACGAAAAUGACGGUACCUGGGGAGGAAGCUCCGGCUAACUACGUGCCAGCAGCCGCGGUAAUAGGUAGGGAGCGAGCGUUGUCCGGAAUUACUGGGUGAAAAGGGAGCGUAGGCGGGGAUGCAAGUUGGGUGUCAAAACUACCGGCUCAACUGGUAGUCGCACUCAAAACUGCAGCUCUUGAGUGAAGUAGAGGCAGGCGGAAUUCCUAGUGUAGCGGUGAAAUGCGUAGAUAUCAGGAGGAACACCGGUGGCGAAGGCGGCCUGCUGGACUGCGACUGACGUUGAGGCCCGAAAGCGUGGGGAGCAAACAGGAUUAGAUACCCGUGUAGUC
rnacentral:rRNA from 1 species